rnacentral:rRNA from 1 species
GAUGAACGCUGGCGGCGUGCUUAACACAUGCAAGUCGAACGAAGCACUUUAUUUGAUUUCCUUCGGGACUGAUUAUUUUGUGACUGAGUGGCGGACGGGUGAGUAACGCGUGGGUAACCUGCCUUGUACAGGGGGAUAACAGUUGGAAACGGCUGCUAAUACCGCAUAAGCGCACGGCAUCGCAUGAUGCAGUGUGAAAAACUCCGGUGGUAUAAGAUGGACCCGCGUUGGAUUAGCUAGUUGGUGAGGUAACGGCCCACCAAGGCGACGAUCGGUAGCCGGACUGAGAGGGUGACCGGCCACAUUGGGACUGAGACACGGCCCAGACUCCUACGGGAGGCAGCAGUGGGGAAUAUUGCACAAUGGGGGAAACCCUGAUGCAGCGACGCCGCGUGAGCGAAGAAGUAUUUCGGUAUGUAAAGCUCUAUCAGCAGGGAAGAUAAUGAACGGUACCUGACCAAGAAGCCCCCGGCUAACUACGUGCCAGCAGCCGCGG